AUUAGCCGAAAGAAAUUCUUAUUUUUGAAAAAUCAGCAUGCGGUCGCACCGAGCUUUACUGCUGGAGGUUUUGCAUUUUCUUCAGGCUUUAAAAAUUAUUGAAACUGGCCUCUAGUUCUACUACACCUCAAAUGCCAAUUGCAUCAAACAAGCAAACACAGCUGUCGCACUUUCCCUCUCCCCCUGUGAAGUUAACCCCUCUUAUAAGACUUCUAUGCAAGUUAAAUAUCGGUGCUCGUUUUGUUUACAUGCAAAUGGUGUGCUCGGCUGCCGUUUUAUUUAGUAAUGUCUCCAUGGCCACCUGUUUUUUAGGUGCACUUGCACCAGAGACCAAGAAUUGGCCGUCACUUUAAUCCUCUCCCCAUAAAGUAAAAAUAUGAAUCGCCUUUUCGUAGAGAUUGUUGUUUUUUAUUGUAACAGUUCAAUUCGAUUUGUAACGCAUAGUAUUAGUAUUGGAUAAUAUGCACUGCUGUAAAUUCUACACAGAAUGAUAUGCACUGUUCUACAAUGACAAGCCUUUGGCAAACAUAAAAGUCACCGCAUAUUGAGUGUACUUCAACAUGUGCCGGGUUACGGACACGACACCAGAGCACCUGAUGAAGUACAAUAGACAUGGGAGACAUUUGAAUUUGUUUGCUGGAGUUGGGCAAUGUCCAUGAUGACGAGUAUCGUUGAAAGCGUCUGGCCACCACGCGCGCUACUUCAGGUACCUGACUGUGGUGUAGUUACCAAAAACCAGCCCCGGUCACUGAUUAGCGCGCACGGUAAAAGACAGAGAUGGCAAGAAACAGAUGUUGCUAAGUGGUCCUCGCUCGUUCAUUCGUGCUCCUGGCGAAAAAAGAAGCCACACACAGGAAACGACCUUGCUGUGCUGUGUGUGUUGUCCAUGUCAAGCUUUAAGGUUAACGAUCUCUGCAUGUGUGCGUCUGUGUGCGACGACGCCGAUGACUUCAUACCCAACGCACACAAAGAAUGUGGUGUAUGUGUUGAGCUUUUUGAGCGCUGAAGCUUUGUCGCCGUCGUCGUAUUUCUUCUACACAGCCUGUUUGUAGUGAGAAAUUUUGCUGGCUGCUGUUUGACGCAGAUUUAUGCAAUAACAAUACCAAAUUAGUCAUAUGGUUUUCAUUGCCCACCUCAUUACAUACAAACGCACGCGUACUUUGUGCGUAUGUGCAUAUGUGUUCGUACGUGCUAAUGGCUACAUAGUCCACACACCGCACUCCAGCAAAUCGGAUGUGACGUCAUCAGGGGGCAGGCAACAAUUGCGAAAUCUUAAAUUUCUUUUUUGUUGCUUUUGUCGCAGCAACAGUUAGUCGUCGUCAUAUUUGCCAGAGCCAACAGAGACCCUUGAUAUUCUAUAUUUGAAAUGCUGUAAAGAAAAAAGCCAAGAAAACUAAAGUGCUGCGAAAAAAAAUUGUAGAAAGAGAAACAGCAAAGAAAAAAAUAACCGGCGUUUUGUUCGCUGCUCUCUUGCCUUACUCUCACAUUUUCUCUCUCGCUCACUUGCUCUCUGUUACUAAGCGCAGCAGAGCUACGUGCGUGAUCACCGUCAGACACACACACAUGCAGAGAAAAGCACAAGACUCUUCUGGCUGGCAAGUUUUGUAGCGCAGCCGAGACACACACGUGCCCCACUACAUUCGCGAAUUCUCUCCUGAGUGUGUGUGCACAUGAACACAGACAGAGGGCAUAAAAUCGAAUUUGCAAACGCGUUCAAAGUGCUUCGUCUCUCUCGCUCUCACUUGAUGUUGCUCUCUGUCUGUUGCUUGUGUGUUCGCUAAAAAGGAAUUAAAUGAAUUGCCAGCAGCUCUACACUUUUUUUUUUUUGGUUGAAUACUUUUUUUUUUACAACGCCUCAUAAACUUUUUAAGCCGCUCGCACAGAUUGUGGUAUAAUGAACUUGGACUUGCUGCCGCUUAAGUCUCCGCUGCGUGUGUGUGUGUGUGCUUGUGUGCACGAUGUGUCACGGCUGCGGCUUUGGCUGCUGCUGCGAUCGCGAGCAGCUUUUGACUGCCGCGCGUUGUGAAUAAUUGCGAAUUUUGUUCGAAUGUCGUUUUGUCGUGCCCAGCCGAGCAUGUGUGUAUGUGUGAGGCAUUUAAUUGUGUAUGUAUAUAGCAAUGGCGACGAUUUCAGAGACAGACUACCAUAUGUACCAUGCACAUAUGUAUGUAUAAGUAUAAGUAUAUAUAUGUACGUUGGUAUAAUGAGCAGCAGGCUGGCAGACAUGACUGCUUUUAUGUACUUGUGUAUGUGUGUCUUGCUUGGGUGGGGCAUUCCUAACCUCAAAUAGUAACAAUGCGCCGACAACUGCCGAGUGCAUGUCUAUCUGACUGCGUGUGUGUGGGUGCCUGCUCUCUUUCUCUUCCUCUCUCUCUCACAUUGUGCAAAAUGCAAGCACAUGCUUUUUUCAAACUGAGAACGCCCUUAACCCUGAGUUGGAG